AGGUAAGCUACUAAGAGCGAAUGGUGGAUGCCUUGACUGGUAGAGGCGAUGAAGGACGUACUAGACUGCGAUAAGCUAGGUGGAGCUGUCAAGAAGCUUUGAUGCCUAGAUUUCCGAAUGGGGCAACCCAAGAUAUAGAGAUAUAUCUUACCGAUACGGAGCGAACGAGGGGAAUUGAAACAUCUUAGUACCCUCAGGAAAAGAAAUCAAAAGAGAUUGCGUCAGUAGCGGCGAGCGAAAGCGCAAGAGGGCAAACCCAGUGCUUGCACUGGGGGUUGUAGGACUGCAAUGUGCAAGAGGAAAGGUUAGCAGAACACUCUGGAAAGUGUAGCCAUAGAGGGUGAUAGUCCCGUAUGCGAAAACCUAAGCCUAGCUAGCAGUAUCCUGAGUAGGGCGGGACACGCGAAAUCCUGUCUGAAGCUGGGUAGACCACUAUCCAACCCUAAAUACUACUACCAGAUCGAUAGCGAACAAGUACCGUGAGGGAAAGGUGAAAAGAACGGCGGUGAGCCGAGUGAAAUAGAACCUGAAACCAUUUGCUUACAAUCAUUCAGAGCUCCAUACUACAUUCCUUAGAGAAUUUAAAUAAGGGUGCGGUAUUUUGUAGGAAAUUUUGUGGCUUUUCAAGCUUUGCAAAUGAGACAUACUGCUUGUAUGUCGCAGUGUAGCAAAGCGAAGAAUCCGCAAAAUUUACACAAAAGACAAGCCCAAAGAUAACUUUUCUAAGGAGUGUAGUGGUGUGAUGGACUGCCUUUUGCAUAAUGAGCCUGCGAGUUGUGGUGUCUGGCGAGGUUAAGCUAACGCGAAGCCGUAGCGAAAGCGAGUCUUAAUAGGGCGCUUAGUCAGAUGCUGCAGACCCGAAACGAAGUGAUCUAUCCAUGAGCAGCUUGAAGCUAGUGUAAGAACUAGUGGAGGAGCGAACCCGCUAGCGUUGAAAAGCUAUGGGAUGACUUGUGGAUAGGGGUGAAAGGCCAAUCAAACUUCGUGAUAGCUGGUUCUCUCCGAAAUAUAUUUAGGUAUAGCGUUGUGUCGUAAUAUAAGGGGGUAGAGCACUGAAUGGGCUAGGGCAUACACCAAUGUACCAAACCCUAUCAAACUCCGAAUACCUUAUGUGUAAUCACAGCAGUCAGGCGGCGAGUGAUAAAAUCCGUCGUCAAGAGGGAAACAACCCAGACUACCCGCUAAGGUCCCCAAAUCUUACUUAAGUGGAAAACGAUGUGAAGUUACUUAAACAACCAGGAGGUUGGCUUAGAAGCAGCCAUCCUUUAAAGAAAGCGUAAUAGCUCACUGGUCUAGUGAUUUUGCGCGGAAAAUAUAACGGGGCUAAAGUAAGUACCGAAGCGGUAGGCUUGUGCUUAAUCAAAUUCUUUAAGACAAGGGCAAAAACCCUAACGAAUUUAAGAAAGUUAAGAAGUUAAAUAUAAAUUUUUGCUUUAAAUUUGUAAGUUUUAACUUUAAAUUUGAAUUUCAAAAUUUCAAAAAGAAAAAAUAAAUUUAAAAACCAAAUUUAAAAAACUUAACUUUGAAACUUAAAUUUGAAAGAAAAAGAAUUUAAAUUUGAAAUUUCAAAAAAAAUUUCAAAAACAAACUUAAAUUCAAAGCUUCUUUCAAAAAAGUCAAGAAAUGAAGAAGUCAAAAAGAAAAAAUUCCACUAAAGAAUUUGCUUAAGCACAAGCGGUAGGAGAGCGUUCUAUUUGCGCCGAAGGUAUACCGGUAAGGAGUGCUGGAGCGGAUAGAAGUGAGCAUGCAGGCAUGAGUAGCGAUAAUUAAUGUGAGAAUCAUUAACGCCGUAAACCCAAGGUUUCCUACGCGAUGCUCGUCAUCGUAGGGUUAGUCGGGUCCUAAGCUGAGUCCGAAAGGGGUAGGCGAUGGCAAAUAGGUUAAUAUUCCUAUACCAACAUUAGUGUGCGAUGGAAGGACGCUUAGGGCUAAGGGGGCUAGCGGAUGGAAGUGCUAGUCUAAGGUCGUAGGAGGUUAUACAGGCAAAUCCGUAUAAGAAUACUCCGAGAACUGAAAGGCUUUUUGAAGUCUUCGGAUGGAAAGAAGAACCCCUGAUGCCGUCGAGCCAAGAAAAGUUUCUAAGUUUAGCUAAUGUUGCCCGUACCGUAAACCGACACAGGUGGGUGGGAUGAGUAUUCUAAGGCGCGUGGAAGAACUCUCUUUAAGGAACUCUGCAAAAUAGCACCGUAUCUUCGGUAUAAGGUGUGCCUCCCUUUGUAUUAGAAUUUACUUCGAAAGCAAAGAAGGUUACAACAAAGAGUCCCUCCCGACUGUUUACCAAAAACACAGCACUCUGCUAACUCGUAAGAGGAUGUAUAGGGUGUGACGCCUGCCCGGUGCUCGAAGGUUAAUUGAUGGGGUUAGCAUUAGCGAAGCUCUUGAUCGAAGCCCGAGUAAACGGCGGCCGUAACUAUAACGGUCCUAAGGUAGCGAAAUUCCUUGUCGGUUAAAUACCGACCUGCAUGAAUGGCGUAACGAGAUGGGAGCUGUCUCAAAGAGGGAUCCAGUGAAAUUGUAGUGGAGGUGAAAAUUCCUCCUACCCGCGGCAAGACGGAGAGACCCCGUGGACCUUUACUACAGCUUG
rnacentral:rRNA from 1 species